AGUGAACGUUGGCGGCGUGGAUUAGGCAUGCGAGUCGAGCGAGAACCGUAGCAAUACGGGGACAGCGGCGAAAGGGAGAGUAACGCGUGGAUAAUCUACCCUCGGGACUGGGAUAGCCGCGGGAAACUGCGGGUAAUACCGGAUAAUGUCCUCGGACCAAAGGUGCGAUUCCGCCCGGGGAUGGGUCCGCGUCCUAGUAGCUAUUGGGUGGGGUAAUGGCCUACCAAGGCGAAGAUGGGUACGGGGUGUGAGAGCAUGCCCCCGCUCACUGGGACUGAGACACUGCCCAGACACCUACGGGUGGCUGCAGUCGAGAAUCUUCGGCAAUGGGCGCAAGCCUGACCGAGCGACGCCGCGUGCGGGAUGAAGGCCUUCGGGUUGUAAACCGCUGUCGGAGGGGAGGAAAUGCACGGGGGUUCUCCCUCGUGUUUGACCUAGCCUCAGAGGAAGGACGGGCUAAGUUCGUGCCAGCCGCCGCCGUAA
rnacentral:rRNA from 1 species